GACGAGGGAUCCUAGCGUUGUUCGGAAUCAUUGGGCGUAAAGCGGGUGUAGGUGGACUUAUAAGUCAGGUGUGAAAUCCCAGGGCUCAACCCUGGAAGUGCACUUGAUACUGCAAGUCUUGAGUGUGGUAGAGGCUAUUAGAAUUCUUGGUGUAGUGGUGAAAUACGUAGAUAUCAAGAGGAAUACCGGAGGCGAAGGCGGAUAGCUGGGCCAACACUGACACUGAGACCCGAAAGCGUGGGGAUCAAACAGG
rnacentral:rRNA from 1 species